CGGGGUGUAGCUCAGCUGGAAGAGCGCGUGGUUUGGGACCAUGAGGCCGGAGGUUCAAGCCCUCUCACUCCGACCA
rnacentral:tRNA from 1 species